AAUGAACGCUGGCGGCAGGCCUAACACAUGCAAGUCGAAUGGAUCCUUCGGGAUUAGUGGCGGACGGGUGAGUAACGCGUGGGAACAUACCCUUUGGUACGGAAUAGCCUCGGGAAGCUGGGAGUAAUACCGUAUGUGGUCGAGAGACGAAAGAUUUAUCGCCAAAGGAUUGGCCCGCGUUGGAUUAGGUAGUUGGUGGGGUAAUGGCCUACCAAGCCGACGAUCCAUAGCUGGUUUGAGAGGAUGAUCAGCCACACUGGGACUGAGACACGGCCCAGACUCCUACGGGAGGCAGCAGUGGGGAAUCUUAGACAAUGGGGGAAACCCUGAUCUAGCCAUGCCGCGUGAUCGAUGAAGGCCUUAGGGUUGUAAAGAUCUUUCAGGUGGGAAGAUAAUGACUGUACCACCAGAAGAAGCCCCGGCUAACUCCGUGCCAGCCGCCGCGGUAA
rnacentral:rRNA from 1 species